ACUAGGGAAGUCUAAUGGUCACGACGCCGGAGAGGGUCUGCAUUCAAAGAAGAAGAAGAAAUGUGCGAUAUUAUUCUACCGGAGAUGCCAGUUCGAAUCUGGCCCCUAGCA